rnacentral:lncRNA from 1 species
UCAACCUUGCUCAUAUGUGUACCAUAAUCAUGCCCAUGUUGUUGUGCCCAAGGUUCCACCAUACCCCAUGGCAUUAUACUUAUGUAUGUGAGCUAAUAAGACUCAUCCAUGUGCAUUACUAAUGUUCAAGGUCCCUUGUGACUUGCCCUUGGUGUCGUCAAGCUUGAGACGUCAAUUUCCACCUUGCCUUGCUUAAUAGGCAAUCUCUUAAAUGUAU